CCCCUUCUCUGGGCCCAAGCCACCUUGGCUGAGGAGGGGGCGAGGAGGUGUGAGCCCCUGCCAGGAACCCCCUGCCCGGACCAAGUGCUCGGCCCCCAGGCCUGCGUUCAGUGAGGCCUCCCGUGGCGUCAGCAUGUUCGUGUGGAGGAAUGUGGAAGGUCACUCUGCGGCCGUGUUCUCCUGGUACUCCAUCCCCUUCCUGACCCCUCCCUGCAGCCACACGAGGCCCAGCAACCUGCCAGUCACUCAGUGGCCUCCAACCAGAGAAAACAACCUGCCAAGUUGGCAGCUGUUGCUCAUGAGCGUCCACCAGGUGGGACAGGGAGUGUUGACCCUGGGCGGCCCCCUGGAGCCACCUGCCCUGAAAGCCCAGGGCCCGCAACCCCACACACUUUGGGGUUGGUGGAACCUGGUAAAAGCUCACCUCCCACCAUGGAGGAGGAGCCCUGGGCCCCUCAGGGGAGUCCCUGCUGGACAGUGAGACAGAGAAUGACCAUGAUGAUGCUUUCCUCUCCAUCAUGUCUCCUGACACCCAGUUGCCUCUACCACUCAGAUGAUGUCAGGCCCAGUCCCUCAGUGCCCUGCGCAAGGAACAGGACUCAUCUUCUGAGAAGGAUGGACGCAGCCCCAACAAAUCAGACAAGGACCACAUCCGGUGGCCCAUGAGUGGCGCUCAUGAUCUUCAGCAGGCGGCACCAGGCCCUGGCGGGGCGCACCAGGGUCACCCCAACCAGGAUAACCGGACCGUCAGCCAGAUGCUGAGCGAGCGGUGGUACACCCUGGGGCCCAAUGAGAUGCAGAAAUACAACCUGGCCUUCCAGGUGAAGGUGGCCCACUUGCAACAAGGACCGAAAGAAGUCCAGCUCAGAGGCCAAGCCCACAAGCCAGGGGCUAGCAGGAGUGUAACAAGGGCUCGUGGGAGCGGAGCAUAUCAGAGACGGGCACUGCCACUGCCCCUGGGGUGUCCUCUGAACUCCUGUCAGUUGCAGCCCAAACACUCCAGAGCUCGGAUACCAAGGAGCAGCUUCUGUGGGGCAGAACGGCUGCACACAGUCAGGGAACCUGGCUCAGCCUGGCCCAAGCCUUCUCCCACAGCGGGGUACACAGCCUGGACGGCAGGGAAAUAGACCGUCAGGCACUACGGGAACUGACACAGGUGGUGUCUGGCACUGCAUCAUACUCUGGCCCAAAGCCUUCUACUCAGCAUGGAGCUCCAGGCCACUUUGCAGCCCCUGGUGAGGGAGGUGACCCGUGGGCAGCCCUGCUGCCGCCCACGUGAGCUGCUCAUUCCCAGCACAUGGCCAGCGAGGUCAUAGCGAGUGACGAAGAGCACACGGUCAUCCAUGAGGAGGAGGGGGUGAUGAUGUCAUUGCUGAUGAUGGCUUUAGCACCACCGACACCGAUCUCAAGUUCAAGGAGUGGGUGACCGACUGAGAGUGGGGACAACUCUGGGGAGGAGCCAGAGGGCAACAAGGGCUUUGGUGGGAAGGUAUUUGCACCUGUCAUUCCUUCCUCCUUUACUCCUGCCGCCCCUUGCUGGAUCCUGAGCCCCCAGGGUCCCCCGAUCCACCUGCAGCUUUUGGCAGUCUAUGGUCACACCCUGUCCUCCUCCUACACAUACUCGGAUGCUUCCUCCUCAACCUUGGCACCCACCUCCUUCUUACUGGGCCCAGGAGCCUUCAAAGCCCAGGAGUCUGGUCAACGCAGCAGAGCGGGCCCCCUACGGCCCCAACCCCUGGGGAUGGGGGCCCAGGGACGCCUUCCAAGGUGGCCUGUUUCCUCCCAAUGGAUCCUGCCACCUUCUGGUGCAAGAGACCUGAAAGUGUGGGCGACCUGGAGCUACCAGGCUCCUCAGUCAUCAGGGUCCCUCCCAACACUAAGGCUUUCCUAGGCAGGAGCUGGGCUGAGCCACCCGGGGGGCAGAGCCUGAAGAGAAACUGACUGGGCUUUCGGGGUCGGGGCAGAGGGAACCCCACGGACAUGGACCCCACACUGGAGGACCCCACCGCGCCCAAAUGCAAGAUGAGAAGAUGCUCCAGCUGCAGUCCAAAGCCCAACACCCCCAAGUGUGCCAUGUGUGAUGGGGACAGCUUCCCCUUUGCCUGUACAGGUGGAGAAGCCGAGGACAGGCUCAGGGAACCGGAGACCAAGAAGGCGCUGUCCUCUUCACUGCAUGUACCCUGGACCAGUGCCGGCCCUGAUCAUGCAGCUCUUCCAGGCCCACUGCUUCUUCCUGUCCACUAGGCCACAGCCGCCCUCCAGGCCCACUAUGCACACAUCUUCCCCUCCAAGGUUUGUUCUGCCCCUGCCCUGACUCCCAGCCCUGUGGGGGUCCUGACCGCACCUCACCUGGCUCAGACUCUUGACGCUGCCCUGGCUGCCCCACCAGUGCUUCUGCCCGAGAGUCACGUGAGGCUGAGAGUAGGGGCAGGGGCAGCAGUGGUGCCAGUUGGGGGGCGGUCCAGUGGGAGGAGCCUCAGCCUCGCAGGCUGCUCCGUGGGACUGAUGACUGCAUGAUCUUCUGGGCACCUCACGGAUCUUCAACUGCAGGUGAAACGGAUGCUGGUGGUGGGUGCAGGGCCGCUGGGAGCUGCUGCAUGGUUCCCAGAGGCUGGACUGAGGCAGGUGCCAACUGAAGCUGCUGGGGCAGCAUGGGCAGGAUGUUCUGCACACAAACCUUGGAGAAGAAGAUGUGUGCAUAGCAGGUCCACUGCUGCUGCCCCUGCCCUGACUCCCAGCCCUGCCUGACCCCACCUCAACCUGCUCAGGCUCUGGCACAACCCUGGCUGCCCUGCCACUGCCUCUGCCCCAGAGUUGGUGCCUUGACAGCCUGGUUGGAAGGGGACACCCCAGCCCUGCCUCAACACCUGGGGGUCUCCAUAACUAGCACAGGCAGGUGGGCAACCCCAAAGAUCCCAGGACUCACAGUACCCCCUGAGAACAUGGACAGUAUGUGGGGGUAGCAAUGGAGGGCAGGAUGGUUAUCUUCUCCCAGGUGAAGCCAUUUAAUCCUUUCAGUUUGGGACGGAGUAAGGCCUUCCUUUUUUUUUUUUUUUUUUUUUUUUUUUUUGAGACCGAGUCUUGCUCUGUCGCCCAGGCUGGAGUGCAGUGGUGCGAUCUUGGCUCACUGCAACCUCUUCCCGCUGGGUUCACGCCAUUCUCCUGCCUCAGCCUUCCGGGUAGCUAGGAUUACAGGUGGACGCUACCACGUCCGGCUAAUUUUUGUAUUUUUAGUACAGACGGGGCUUCAUCAUCUUGGCCAGGCUGAUUUCGAUCUCCUGACAUCGUGAUCUGCCUGCCUCCCCCUCCCAAAGUGCUGGGAUUACAGGCGUGAGCCACCACGCCUGGCCAAGGCCUGCUCCUCUUAUCUAUACCCCCUACCCCUGCAGCUGUGCCGGGGGAAAGCUGGGCAGUUUCCCUCCUCCGAGCCCCUGUACAUACCAUGAAUUGUGGGACCUUCAGAGCUUUUCACUUUUCGGAAAAUAGCUCCUGCUGGGGCUACAAGAUGGAGUGUGAAGAGGGCCUUGGGCCACAGGGAGGCGCCUGUGGACUAGGGGGAGUUCAUGCACCCCUUCUUUCCCCAGAGGGGCUGGACUCAGGUGAGUAUGGGGGUGGGGGCUCCUGCACUUCGACACAGGCAGCAGGAGGGUUUUCUCCCCAUUCCCUCUGCACUCCCAACUUGAGCUAUACUUUUUAAGAAAGUGAUUCACCCUGCCUUUGCCCCCUUCCCCAGAACAGAACACGUUGAUCGUGGGCGAUAUUUUUCAUUGUGCCAAAAAGUUGCCAUGACCGUCAUUAAACCUGUUUAACAC
rnacentral:lncRNA from 1 species